ACCGGCAAGCAGGGGCGGGAAGGGGAACUGCGCGUGCGCAGAGUCUCCGCCCUCCUGACCGCCGCGGCUAGAGGUUCCAUUGCAGACCCGGAGGCCGUGGCUGUGGUUCGCGGCGGUGCUGUCGCGGGCGCCCUGGCGCAGCCCACGCAGGGGCUCCUGAGGGGAGACAUAAGACAUCAGUCAGUACAUGUGAGGUGUGCAUUGGAUUGAUCCAGAAAGUCAGGACGACUCCAAGCGGAAAGGUCUCCAGAGACAGGAGACAGUAAAAGAAAUGGCCUCUCUCCUCCGUCAGAGUGGAGUCCCGAGCUCCCAGAAAUGCCACGUGAUGGACAAACGCUUGGGGGAAAAAAAAAAAGGAGACCUCAGUCGGACACAAAAGCAGGAGCUUUAAAAGAAAAAAUAAGAGAUAAGUUGAACUUCACCAAAAAAUAAGCGUUUCUGGUCUUUGAAAGACACUUAAAAUGAAAAGGCAAGCCAUCGAUGGGGAAAAUACUCAGAAUAAUGGAUCUGACGGAGGGCUGUAUCUAGAAUAUAUAAAGAUAUUUUAAAAUCCAGUAAUUUGACAUAAAGAUGGUAGCCAGCCUGACACACAAAGGAACCCGAAUGGCCAAUGGACAGGAAGGGAACCCGUAUGGCCGAUGGACAGGAAGGGAACCCGUGUGGCCGAUGGACAGGAAGGGAAGUGAACGUGAACAUCUCAUUGGGGAUGCCGUUAUCACCACUGGAUAGUCAAAAACACGGACACCAAGUAUUGGUGGAUGUCAAUGGUUAAUGGAUGGGGAGGUGACCGCCCAAGCAGAAGCCGACCCUCUUCAUGAAGGGGCCACAGGUCACCCCGAACCAGAAAUCCACAGAACAGCCAAGGCCACAGCGGAACCGAGCGGGCCACGCCUCUGCCUCUGGGCCGCUCAGGGCCAGGCCUCCCUGACCCCACUGGCUCUAUUGUGAGGACUCAGGGUGGAGCUCUGCUGGGCUCAGUGGCCUUCACAGCCGGGGCCCACAGACCCGGGCCCUACGGGCAGUACUGUGCUCACCUAGAGGCCACGGUCCAUGCCCCGUCUCCAGCAGGCCCAAGUCACUUGUCCAUGGCGAAGGCCCGGCCUUGCUUCAGGCCCCGGGCGCGCUCCUCCUGCCCACUGUUUCUUCCCAGGUGACAGAGGCGGGA